rnacentral:rRNA from 1 species
GGCGGACGGGUGAGUAAUGUAUAAUUAAUCUGCCCUUUAGAGGGGGAUAACAGUUGGAAACGACUGCUAAUACCCCAUACUCCUUUUGCAUUAAUUGUAAUUGGGAAACGUUUUUUCGCUAAAGGAUGAGACUAUAUGGUAUCAGGUAGUUGGUGGGGUAAGAGCCCACCAAGCCAAUGACGCCUAGCUGGUCUGAGAGGAUGAUCAGCCACACUGGAACUGAGACACGGUCCAG